rnacentral:rRNA from 1 species
CGUAGGUAACCUGCCUCUUAGCGGGGGAUAACUAUUGGAAACGAUAGCUAAUACCGCAUAAAAGUCGGUAUCGCAUGAUGUUGAUUUGAAAGGUGCAAUUGCAUCACUAAGAGAUGGACCUGCGUUGUAUUAGCUAGUUGGUGAGGUAACGGCUCACCAAGGCGACGAUACAUAGCCGACCUGAGAGGGUGAUCGGCCACACUGGGACUGAGACACGGCCCAG